rnacentral:rRNA from 1 species
AGAGUUUGAUCCUGGCUCAGGACGAACGCUGGCGGCGUGCUUAACACAUGCAAGUCGAACGGAAAGGCUUCUAGCUUGCUAGGGGUACUCGAGUGGCGAACGGGUGAGUAACACGUGGGUGAUCUGCCCUCAACUUUGGGAUAAGCCUGGGAAACUGGGCCUAAUACCGGAUAGGAACAAUCUUUAGUGUGGUUGUUGGAAAGCUUUUGCGGUUGGGGAUGAGCUCGCGGCCUAUCAGCUUGUUGGUGGGGUAAUGGCCUACCAAGGCGUCGACGGGUAGCCGGCCUGAGAGGGUGUACGGCCACAUUGGGACUGAGAUACGGCCCAGACUCCUACGGGAGGCAGCAGUGGGGAAUAUUGCACAAUGGGCGGAAGCCUGAUGCAGCGACGCCGCGUGGGGGAUGAAGGCCUUCGGGUUGUAAACUCCUUUCGACAGGGACGAAGCUUUUGUGACGGUACCUGUAUAAGAAGCACCGGCUAACUACGUGCCAGCAGCCGCGGUAAUACGUAGGGUGCGAGCGUUGUCCGGAAUUACUGGGCGUAAAGAGCUCGUAGGUGGUUUGUCGCGUCGUCUGUGAAAUUCCGGGGCUUAACUCCGGGCGUGCAGGCGAUACGGGCUGACUUGAGUGCUGUAGGGGAGACUGGAAUUCCUGGUGUAGCGGUGAAAUGCGCAGAUAUCAGGAGGAACACCGAUGGCGAAGGCAGGUCUCUGGGCAGUUACUGACGCUGAGGAGCGAAAGCAUGGGUAGCGAACAGGAUUAGAUACCCUGGUAGUCC